rnacentral:rRNA from 1 species
AACGAACGCUGGCGGCAUGCCUAACACAUGCAAGUCGAACGAGACCUUCGGGUCUAGUGGCGCACGGGUGCGUAACGCGUGGGAAUCUGCCUUUCGGUUCGGAAUAACUCAGGGAAACUUGAGCUAAUACCGGAUGAUGACUUCGGUCCAAAGAUUUAUCGCCGAGAGAUGAGCCCGCGUCGGAUUAGCUAGUUGGUGAGGUAAAAGCUCACCAAGGCGACGAUCCGUAGCUGGUCUGAGAGGAUGACCAGCCACACUGGGACUGAGACACGGCCCAGACUCCUACGGGAGGCAGCAGUGGGGAAUAUUGGACAAUGGGCGAAAGCCUGAUCCAGCAAUGCCGCGUGAGUGAUGAAGGCCUUAGGGUUGUAAAGCUCUUUUACCCGGGAUGAUAAUGACAGUACCGGGAGAAUAAGCCCCGGCUAACUCCGUGCCAGCAGCCGCGGUAAUACGGAGGGGGCUAGCGUUGUUCGGAAUUACUGGCGUAAAGCGCACGU